GACGAACGCUGGCGGCGUGCUUAACACAUGCAAGUCGAACGGAAAGGCCCCCACUUUUUUGGUGGGGGUGCUCGAGUGGCGAACUGGUGAGUAACACGUGGGUGAUCUGCCCUGUACUUCGGGAUAAGCUUGGGAAACUGGGUCUAAUACCGGAUAGGACCAUGGUUUAGUGUCUCAUGGUGGAAAAAUUAUUGUUUUGGUGCAGGAUGAGCUCGCGGCCUAUCAGCUUGUUGGUGGGGUAAUGGCCUACCAAGGCGUCGACGGGUAGCCGGCCUGAGAGGGUGGACGGCCACAUUGGGACUGAGAUACGGCCCAGACUCCGACGGGAGGCAGCAGUGGGGAAUAUUGCACAAUGGGCGCAAGCCUGAUGCAGCGACGCCGCGUGGGGGAUGACGGCCUUCGGGUUGUAAACUCCUUUCGUUAGGGACGAAGCCGCACCUUUUUUGGGUGUGGUGACGGUACCUUUGUUAAGAAGCACCGGCUAACUACGUG
rnacentral:rRNA from 1 species